UUAUAAUAGAAUUGAUACAAAACAUACAUUAUUUGAACAUAUCUUAUUGUUAAGAACCUGUAUCAAAAUACGUUUUCAUAAUAGUUUGAAUCCGUCGACCGCGAUUCGUUAGUACAGUUUCGUCCGGCUAUUCGGUCUAAAACCGUUAUAGCUUUUCCCUUCAAUGAUUAUCGGAUAAGCGAAAGACGCUUAUUACUCAGGCGGCCGUUAAAAUGAAAACAAAAUGUUUCGAAUUUUACAGGAGAAUUUUAUUCAAAAAAACUAUCACCGAACCCCAAAAGAAAUAUAUUUAAAUACUACAAGCAGAGUUUAAAACAUUCGUUUAAAAAUAAAUGCAUUCCUAUUCACAUUUAUUGAGUUUAAAACCCAAUGUAUUUAUAUUCAAA